GAUGAACGCUGGCGGCGUGCCUAAUACAUGCAAGUCGAGCGAACAGACGAGGAGCUUGCUCCUCUGACGUUAGCGGCGGACGGGUGAGUAACACGUGGAUAACCUACCUAUAAUACUGGGAUAACUUCGGGAAACCGGAGCUAAUACCGGAUAAUAUAUUGAACCGCAUGGUUCAAUAGUGAAAGACGGUUUUGCUGUCACUUAUAGAUGGAUCCGCGCCGCAUUAGCUGGUUGGUAAGUUAACGGCUUACCAAGGCGACGAUGCGUAGACGACCUGAGAGGGUGGUAGGCCGCCCUAGAGCGUGGCCGCGGACAAGAGGACUGAGGGACGCAGCAGUAGGGAAUGUUCCGCAAUGGGCGAAAGCCUGACGGAGCAACGCGGCGUCAGUGAUGACGGUCUUCGGAUCGUAAAACUCUGUUAUUAGGGAAGAACAAAUGUGUAAGUAACUAUGCACGUCUUGACGGUACCUAAUCAGAAAGCCACGGCUAACUACGUG
rnacentral:rRNA from 1 species